rnacentral:rRNA from 1 species
CACGUAAGGGGCGUGCGUUGUUCGGAAUUAUUGGGCGUAAAGGGCACGCAGGCGGUUAUACAAAUCCGAUGUGAAAGACCUGGGCUUAACUCAGGGGCCGCGGUGGAAACUGUAUGACUAGAGUAUUAGAGGGGGAGGCGGAAUUCCUAGUGUAGGGGUGAAAUCUGUUGAUAGUAGGAAGAACACCGGUGGCGAAGGCGGACUCCUGGCUGGAUACUGACGCUGAGGUGCGAAAGCAUAGGGAGCAAACAGG